ACGAACGCUGGCGGCGUGCUUAACACAUGCAAGUCGAGCGGAAAGGCCCUUUCGGGGGUACUCGAGCGGCGAACGGGUGAGUAACACGUGAGUAACCUGCCCUUCACUUUGGGAUAACCCUCGGAAACGGGGGCUAAUACCGGAUAUGACUUCAGUUCGCAUGGGCUGGGGUGGAAAGAUUUUUUGGUGGGGGAUGGGCUCGCGGCCUAUCAGCUUGUUGGUGGGGUGAUGGCCUACCAAGGCGACGACGGGUAGCCGGCCUGAGAGGGCGACCGGCCACACUGGGACUGAGACACGGCCCAGACUCCUACGGGAGGCAGCAGUGGGGAAUAUUGCACAAUGGGCGGAAGCCUGAUGCAGCGACGCCGCGUGAGGGAUGACGGCCUUCGGGUUGUAAACCUCUUUCAGCAGGGACGAAGCGUGAGUGACGGUACCUGCAGAAGAAGCGCCGGCCAACUACGU
rnacentral:rRNA from 1 species